AGAGUUUGAUCCUGGCUCAGAACGAACGUUGGCGGCGUGCUUAACACAUGCAAGUCGAACGAGAAAGUUUCCUUCGGGAAGCGAGUAAAGUGGCGCACGGGUGAGUAACGCGUAGAUAACCUGUCCAGAUGUCCGGGAUAGCCCAUCGAAAGGCGGAUUAAUACCGGGUAUCUUGUUUUAACCUAAGUUGAACCAAGAAAGGUGGCCUCUAUUUAUAAGCUAUCGCAUUUGGAGGGGUCUGCGUACCAUUAGUUUGUUGGUGGGGUAACGGCCUACCAAGACUACGAUGGUUAGCGGGUCUGAGAGGAUGAUCCGUCACACUGGCACUGAAACACGGGCCAGACUCCUACGGGAGGCAGCAGUGAGGAAUAUUGCGCAAUGGGGGAAACCCUGACGCAGCGACGCCGCGUGAGUGAGGAAGGCCUUCGGGUCGUAAAGCUCUGUCAGAAGGGAAGAAAUGAUUGCAGGUUAAUACCCUGUAUUCUUGACGGUACCUUCAAAGGAAGCACCGGCUAACUCCGUGCCAGCAGCCGCGGUAAUACGGAGGGUGCAAACGUUGUUCGGAAUCACUGGGCGUAAAGGGCGC
rnacentral:rRNA from 1 species